rnacentral:snoRNA from 1 species
CGUCUCGACGACGAGGAUCUCGUCUCCUAUAUCCUGGCUGGCCUUGACGUCGACUUCAACCCGGAGGUCACCGCAGUCGCGUCCAGGGUCGAGCCGGUGUCCGUGGGUGAACUGUUUGCUCAGCUCGUGAGCUUUGAAA